GAGUCGGAAAUGGACUUCGAGACGUC
rnacentral:sRNA from 1 species